GAAAAAAGGGUCUUGAUUGGAAAUGGGGAGAUCAAGAUGGCGGCGAGGGUAAUGUAGGAACAGUAUAUAGAGUCGAAAUGGAUGCUGUUGUUUAUGUAAAAUGGCCCAAUGGCAAUCGAAGUAACUACAGAUAUGGAUACGAAAGCAAGCAUGAUGUGCAGCUGUGUGAUCCAUUUGAGUCGUGUCUUC